rnacentral:rRNA from 1 species
GACGAACGCUGGCGGCGUGCUUAACACAUGCAAGUCGAACGGAAAGGCCCUGCUUUUGUGGGGUGCUGGAGUGGCGAACGGGUGAGUAACACGUGAGUAACCUGCCCUAGACUUUGGGAUAACUUCAGGAAACUGGGGCUAAGCUCGGACAGGAGCUCCUGCUGCAUGGUGGGGGUUGGAAAGUUUGGGCGGUUGGGGAUGGACGGGCGGCUGAUGAGCUUGUUGGUGGGGGAGUGGCUGACCAAGGCUUUGACGGGUAGCCGGCCUGAGAGGGUGCCCGGCCACAUUGGGACUGAGAUACGGCCCAGACUCCUACGGGAGGCAGCAGUGGGGAAUAUUGCCCAAUGGGCGGGAGCCUGAUGCAGCGACGCCGCGUGCGGGAUGACGGCCUUCGGGUUGUAAACCGCUUUCGCCUGUUAUGAAGCGGGAGUGACGGUAAUGGGUAAAGAAGCACCGGCUAACUACGUG